GAGAGCCCUGCGGUCCUGGUUUCUUCAUUAUCUCUGGCGAUAGUAAAUCAGAGAAAACAGGGAGCUGUGUUCACAGGCAGGAUGGAUGGCCCCUCAACCACAUAACAGCACAGAGCUGAGCAGAGCGGCCCAGACUGGCCAUAUAAACCAGUGAAACUCUAUCCCCGGCCCGGCCGGACCACCUCCACUGGGGGUCAACCAGCCCCCCUGACCCCACAUAAUUUAGACCCGAACUGAGAGAGGGGGACCUCUGCGCUCCCCAAGAGCGCUUCAAGAAGGGGGGUACAGCUGUCUUUUGGCUCCUCACAACGCUCGCCUUUUAGCAGCUCAAAGGGAGCAGUCGAGAGAGAACGGGGUCACAGGUCAGACCAGCCAACUUUCAUGCCCGCCUCCCUCUGAAGUUUUCAGCUUUUUUCUCUUUUUUUACUGCUUCCAGAUUUCCCAGCCGUAACACGCUUCCCAGGUGACUGUGAAGGGGGAAACGUACCUCCUCACACAUCGCAAAUAAUCGAAACCAUCUUGUCAGCUCCUCUGGUUUUGGAGUGGGUCCUCUGUGUGUGUGUGUGUGUGUGUGUGUGUGUGUGCGUGUGCGUGUGCGCGUGCGUGCUCCAGCAGUGAUGGGUGUGUGCAGUCAAUGUCUUUGUGUCUUUUUCUAAUUGUAACCGCAUACUAAGCACAGACGAUUUACAGUAAUUCUGACCCUUCCCAUCCCCUUCAGAUGGUGCUGGACUGACAUUUCUUCUCUUUGGUCAUGGUGGAGGCAUACAGGAUCAGUGCUAGCUCACAUUGUGUCGUGUGUGAUGGAGGAUGUGUGCAUUAACUUUGGGAGGCCACAGGAGACGUGGCACUGAACGUGUUAAUGGAGUGACUGGUUCUCCCCAGAAAGGAGGACUGAUGGAAUUGCACACCGUGCAGAGGGAAUUGCUUUGAAGGAUACACACACACAUCAGCCCCUAAAGAGGAAGGAAGGAAGGAAGGAAGGAAGGAAGGAAGGAAGGAAGGAAGGAAGGAAGGAAGG
rnacentral:lncRNA from 1 species